GUGCUCUUCAAACAGAUAAAAGCAUUUAUCAUCUAGUUAAUUUUUUACAUAUCAAGGAACAAAGGUCCUCAACCUGAAGCCUGAAGUUAGAGAUCACUCUGAAUAUUUUUUGUUUAAAAGAGCCAGAUGAUGAAAACACUGAUUUAACUGAUUAAAGGAAAGCAAAUCGUACCAGAAUGAAUUUGAUUUUUCUUAUAGUUUGGUGGUCUGAUCAUGUGGAUUUGUACAGUUGCAGUGAUUAACGGUUGUGUCCCUAGUGACAUUACUUCACUAAGCUGAACCUGCUUCUUCCUGCCCUCUGAAGUGAAAACCAGCUCUGACACUAUCAUGAAAGAAGAACAUCUCAUGACUUUACAACUCAUUCAUUUUGAUUUUGUAUUUGAUUUACAAAUUUAACUGGCCUAAACUUUUAUUUGUAUUUCUUUCUCAUUAUUACACCCACUUUAUUCACAUCAUAAAAUUGCAUUUUCUUUUUCAAUGCAGUUUUUCAUUUAAUUUUCAAUGGAAACUUCAUACUUUUACCAUUUAGAUCUCUUAUUCUACAUGGUCAUAUGUUUUAAGUUUUUACACAAAAUUAAUUAUAAAUAAUUACAUCUUAUUGUUACAAUUCAAUAUUCCUUUUUAUAGGAGUUCAAAAGUGUUGGUCCAAUCAUGCCAAUAUAUAAGCUUUCUUUCUUUCUUUCUUUCUUGUCUACAUAAUAAGAUGGACUAAUUUAGUAUUGGCAUAUUUUAUUUCUAGAAUAAGCUAUGAUGAAUAUGAAAUAAACACUUUUCAGAUUAAGAAAAACCUUCAAACCUACAGAAUACAGCAUACAUUCAUGGGAUCUUUAUUAAAUUAUUUAUUGAAGUAGGUAUGAAGUCUGUAAUUUAAUUAAUUAGUGCAUCUAAACUUUAUUGUACUUAAAACUAGAAAAUUAUUUAAUAGCUCACUGAUUAGAAGCACAUGCUGUGAAUGAUCAACCAGUCAGAUGACAUUUAAAACCAGAUGAAUUGUUUCUAUAAAUAAAUUCUAAACAAUUUCCUUCUUGGCACUA